ensembl:antisense Gm7854 predicted gene 7854
UGACAGUUCCUCCCAGCUCUGACAGCCCGCGGGUGCGGCUGCAGGUGCCGCCUCGGCUUCAUUAGCCCAGCUCAGGACAAACUCCAGAAGGGAACAACCCCAGUUCUGGUCCCCUCGGUCACCCCGGGGAAGGACCCAGCCCUAGCUGCUCACUCUCCGCCCGCCUUCCCGAGAGUGCUGCCCCGACCCCGGGUCCGCCGCCAAGCCGGAGCGCCCGGGGCGUUCGAGGGGGCUUGGCGGCUCCUGUUCCCACCGCGCACGCCUUACCUGGUGGUGGUUGUACGAGUUCCUCUGCUGCAGGAAGGCGGCUGCGGCAGCCUGGUGCUGCUGCUGCAGCUGCGGGCUGACGGGUGACCUCCGGCUCUGCGGCUGCUGCGGCGCCGCCGCCGGCGGCUGCUGUUGAGGAUGAUGCCCUCCAGGUCUAUCCAUUUGCCUAGGAACCAAGAAGUCUUAAUAACUGUUUUGGUGAUUGGGGCCAGCAGAAACCUUCUUCCUGACAUUCUUCUAAGUGACAGGAUGUGUGUAGUCUGCUCUCAACUCCCCACUGGUCCAGCUGAGGCUGCCUGAGGAAAGCACUUUUCUCUGAGGUAUAUUCUUGCCACAGUGGUCACUGAUGUGCUUCAAACAUGGAAAGAAGAAGUCUCAUAUGGUCCUACCCCUAUAGAAAGAACCACGGUUAACUAAUGACUGCUGGAUGAAGUUCCUGCUUCCAGCUUCCUGCCAAGACUUCCUUUAAUGAUGGACUGUAACCUGAAGCUCAAACCCCAAAUGACGUUCCUGCUCUGUUGCCUGUACCCUGGAUUGCUCACCACCUGAGCCUACCUGCCCUUGUGGGGUUGGAGGUGAGGUGUCACAAAGUCAUCAACACAGACUCUGGAAGCAGAGAAGGCUCCUGGAAGGAACUGCUCAGCUGGGGACUACACCUUCUUUUUGUUUUGGUACAGAGAGAGACCAGCUGACUGGUUUUCAGAAUGAAAAGAGUCUAGCUGGCAGCCCAAAGAGGUGACUGAGAACUGGCUGUGUAAGAACAGCAGAGCUUCCUGGGAGAAACAGGCUUCAUUUUUCCUGCUUUAAAAAAAAAAUAUGCGAGAACUCCAAUGUUCUGGCAAAAUUAAGGAAACCUGCAAUCAGUUGCUUGGAAAAAAAAACCCAGCAAACCUGUCUGUAGUAAAUUACAUAUUGGGACAAAGCCCCACUGACUCCCGAGGCUGCCUUCCUCCCUGCACCCCACCCUGCUGCCAUCCUUAAGGUAAUGUCCUUCAGACUGCACAAGCUGCAUUUCAGAGACCUGCAGUCCAAACUUGACACCUAAGAACUGUGUCCCUUUAGGUAAGUCUCAUGGCUUUUUGUCUGAGUUUCAUGAUAUUAUUUGUAACAUGACCUUAAAUCUGUUUCUUCAUAUUGAUAUGAGAAAUAAACACACUUUCAUCAGC